GACGAACGCUGGCGGCGUGCUUAACACAUGCAAGUCGAGCGGUAAGGCCCUUUCGGGGGUACACGAGCGGCGAACGGGUGAGUAACACGUGGGUGACCUGCCUUUAGCUCUGGGAUAAGCCUGGGAAACUGGGUCUAAUACCGGAUAUGACCCUAUGGCGCAUGUUGUGGGGUGGAAAGCCUUGUGCGGCUAGGGAUGGGCCCGCGGCCUAUCAGCUUGUUGGUGGGGUGAUGGCCUACCAAGGCGACGACGGUAGCCGGCCUGAGAGGGCGACCGGCCACACUGGGACUGAGACACGGCCCAGACUCCUACGGGAGGCAGCAGUGGGGAAUCUUGCGCAAUGGCGAAAGCCUGACGCAGCGACGCCGCGUGA
rnacentral:rRNA from 1 species